rnacentral:lncRNA from 1 species
CACACACACACACACACACACACACACACACACACACACACACACACACACACACACACACACAAAGUUAUACUCCUGGGCUGAGAAGCUAAAGCGUUUAAUGGCAGCUUAUUCUCUAGUCUGAACAAACAGUGAAUGCUGUCAACCUCAACGUUCAGCUGCGUUAAUUCCAGCAUAUGCAAUAUAGAUAGUGCUUUCUUGGUAGAAGACGUGUCACACAUUUUUAUAUUACCUUUAUAUUACCAUUAUUUAACUAGGCAAGUCAGUAAAGAACAAAUUCUCAUUUUCAAUGACAGCCUACGAACAGUGGGUUAAUUGCCUUGUUCAGGGACAGAACGACAGAUUUGUACCUUGUACCUUGAUUCGAACUUGCAACCGUUCUAGUUACUAGUCCAACACUCUAACAACUAGGCCCAAGCCUGAUGACUCUAAGAAUACUGACACCUGCUGGUUUGGGCAUCGUAACUAAAAGCCUAAACCUGUCAGGUGGAAAACUGAAGAGUAUCCAGGGUAACAGUCCUGCUGAAGAGUAUCCAGGGUAACAGUCCUGAUGAAGAGUAUCCAGGGUAACAGUCCUGCUGAAGCGUAUCCAGGGUAACAGUCCUGCUGAAGAGUAUCCAGGGUAACAGUCCUGCUGAAGAGUAUCCAGGGUAACAGUCCUGCUGAAUAGUAUCCAGGGUAAGAGUCCUGCUGAAGCGUAUCCAGGGUAACAGUCCUGAUGAAGAGUAUCCAGGGUAACAGUCCUGCUGAAGAGUAUCCAGGGUAACAGUCCUGAUGAAGAGUAUCCAGGGUAACAGUUCUGCUGAAUAGUAUCCAGGGUAACAGUCCUGCUGAAGAUUAUCCAGGGUAACAGUCCUGCUGAAGAGUAUCCAGGGUAACAGUCCUGCUGAAGAGUAUCCAGGGUAGCAGUCCUGCUGAAGAGUAUCCAGGGUAACAGUCCUGCUGAAGAGUAUCCAGGGUAACAGUCCUGCUGAAGCGUAUCCAGGGUAACAGUCCUGCUGAAGCGUAUCCAGGGUAACAGUCCUGCUGAAUAGUAUCCAGGGUAACAGUCCUGCUGAAGAGUAUCCAGGGUAACAGUACAGUAACAGUACUGCUGAAUAGUAUCCAGGGUAACGGUCUUGCUGAAGAGUAUCCAGGACAACAGUCCCGCUGAAGCAUAUCCAUGGUAACAGUCCUGCUGAAGAGUAUCCAGGGUAACAGUACUGCUGAAGCGUAUCCAUGGUAACAGUCCUGCUGAAGAGUAUCCAGGGUAACAGUCCUGCUGAAUAGUAUCCAAGGUAACAGUCCUGCUGAAGAGUAUCCAGGGUAACAGUCCUGCUGAAGAGUAUCCAGGGUAACAGUCCUGCUGAAGAGUAUCCAGGGUAACAGUCCUGCUGAAGAGUAUCCAGGGUAACAGUCCUGCUGAAGAGUAUCCAGGGUAACAGUACAGUAACAGUACUGCUGAAUAGUAUCCAGGGUAACGGUCCUGCUGAAGAGUAUCCAGGGUAACAGUCCUGCUGAAGAGUAUCCAGGGUAACAGUCCUGAUGAAGAGUAUCCAGGGCAACAGUCCUGCUGAAGAGUAUCCAGGGUAACAGUCCUGCUGAAGAGUAUCCAGGGUAACAGUCCUGAUGAAGAGUAUCCAGGGUAACAGUCCUGCUGAAGAGUAUCCAGGGUAACAGUCCUGCUGAAGAGUAUCCAGGGUAACAGUCCUGCUGAAGAGUAUCCAGGGUAACAGUCCUGCUGAAUAGUAUCCAUGGUAACAGUCCUGCUGAAGAGUAUCCAGGGUAACAGUCCUGCUGAAGAGUAUCCAGGGUAACAGUCCUGCUGAAGAGUAUCCGGGGUAACAGUACAGUAACAGUACUUGUACGUGUCAGGAAGGCAGCAGCGGUGCACUUGGCCAUCCGCUAAACGUGAGUUUGUGACUUGUUAUGGAUGCUGGCGGGAAAAG